UGUUGUAUUUUGGUUAAACAAUUUUAAUUUAAUUAAAAGUAUACUUGAUAUGAUAUGAUCACAUUAAUAGUUAAUUGUAUAUUUAAAUAAUUAGGUCAAGUUAUUGGUACAUAACAUAAGUAGGGCUAUGGAGUUUUUAUUAACCUAAAUUGGCAAAUUAAAAUUUUUUUUUUACAUCUGAGUGUCAUUUUCAUGCAAUAUAUUAAAAGAUUUUUAUAUCUUAAAAUAUUAAUUAAAAAUUAACAUCAUUUCAAAAAUAAGUGUAAAAAUCAAUAUUUUUUAAAACAUUCAUAGCCCUAAAAAUAUGUUAUACUCUAUGUAUAGAGUAGAUAAUGUAAAGUAUGUUCAAUGUUCAUUUAAUUUGUAUUAAUUUAUCUAGGGUAGUGGACAUGUUAAGUGUUAAUAUUUUUUAUUAGGUAUGACCUUACCCAAAUCCUGCAAAAAUUUGCACUACGGAAAUUUGUUCAUGUUCUAGUAAAAUUAUUAAUAACUAAUGUGUUUAUUGCCUUUGAUAAUUUAGUAUUGAAUUAAUGUCCAUUAUUUGGUAUAAGUUCAAUAAACUUGAAUAAAAACUACCUAUCAAUUAUUUAUGACUUAUUUCAACGUCUUGAACAUAUUAAUCCUACUGGUUAGUGGCUACUAAAAAACUAAAUACUAAUUAAUAAAUGUAAAAAAGUUAAUGAAAAAUUUAAAAAGAGUGAACAUUUAUAAAGUUGUUUUAUUAUAUGAAACAAAGAAAAUAAGUAACAUACUUACAUAUUAUAAUGUUUUGUACUACUAUAGCAUAGAAAAGUACUAUAGUACCAAUACCAGAGAUACCACUAACAAUAUUAACUAAAUUAAUUUGUAUACCAUGGAACAAUAUUAUAUCUUAGUUCAUGUUUCAAAAUUAAACCUAUGAAGUAUGAAGUUAAUAUUAUCACAGAACUAUGUAACCAUGGUUGAAAUACAUACAUCUUAGAAUAUAGUGAAUAUACCUUAUAAUUUAUAAAAGCUUCCAAUAUUGGUAAGGAAAGUAAGGAUUAGUUAAGUUCAAAAUUUAAUUAAAACAAACAAACACAUACACAAUACUUAUCAUUUACAUUAGCAGGCAUUUCUUUGUAAACUACACUUUGAAGAUAACCCCAAAGAAAAUAAUAUGGCGAAGUCAGAUCGGGACUACGAGGUGGCCAACAUAUUUUUGGACUGUACGUUCCCAUCCAAUUUGUACCAAAAGUGCAAUUUAAAUACUCUAUGACAAUAUUUUUAUUAUGAGCUGGAGCACCGUCCUGCUGCCAAACUAAAGUUUUGCGUCUUGAUAAAGAUAUGUCCUCCAAAUACAUACAAAUACAUAUGUAUUUAUUUAAUAUAAUUUAUAUUUCUAUAUUAGAUUGAUGAGUUAUAAUUAGUAAAUUACAAAAUAAAUAUUUUUUAAAAAACAAUAUGGUGUAUCUUAAUUACUAUAGUAAAUGAUUAUAUUAAACAGAUAACAUUUUUUCAUUUUAAAACAAAGUAAAUCAACAAUUUCUAUGUAUUUAGAAAAAUAA